AACGCGAAGAACCUUACCAGGGCUUGACAUCCCUCUGACGCCGUUAGAGAUAAUGGUUCCCUUCGGGGCAGAGGAGACAGGUGGUGCAUGGUUGUCGUCAGCUCGUGUCGUGAGAUGUUGGGUUAAGUCCCGCAACGAGCGCAACCCUUGAUCUGUGUUACCAGCACGUAGAGGUGGGGACUCACAGGUGACUGCCGGCGUAAGUCGGAGGAAGGCGGGGAUGACGUCAAAUCAUCAUGCCCUUUAUGUCCUGGGCUACACACGUGCUACAAUGGGCGGUACAACGGGAAGCGAAGCCGCGAGGUGGAGCGAAACCUAAAAAGCCGUUCGUAGUUCGGAUUGCAGGCUGCAACUCGCCUGCAUGAAGCCGGAAUUGCUAGUAAUCGCGGAUCAGCAUGCCGCGGUGAAUCCGUUCCCGGGCCUUGUACACACCGAUAGC
rnacentral:rRNA from 1 species